GGACUUGUGGCUUAGUGGUAGGGCACUUGCCUUGCAAGCAUGAGGCUCUGGGUUCGAUUCUCAGCACCA
rnacentral:tRNA from 1 species